GUGUUCACUUCGGCAGCACAUAUACUAAAAUUAGAAUGAUACAGAGAAGAUUAGCAUGACCCCUGCGCAAGGAUGAUGCAAAUCUGUGAAGCAUUAAAAGAAUCA
ensembl:snRNA U6 U6 spliceosomal RNA